rnacentral:rRNA from 1 species
AGUCGAACGAUGAAGCUUUUAGCUUGCUAGAAGUGGAUUAGUGGCGCACGGGUGAGUAAGGUAUAGUUAAUCUGCCCUACACUGGGGGACAACACUUAGAAAUGAGUGCUAAUACCCCAUACUCCUAUUUAGCAUAAGUUAGAUAGGGAAAGUUAAUAACGCUCUAUAGAUAACUUGAUAGAUUCCAAACUUUCCCUCCCAUUAUAUUAAUGGGACGGGGGCUUUAGGUGGGUCAAGGGAGCGUAGCUCCUUGUCACAAAGACGGACUUUGUUCGUCUGCGAAGUUAUGUAUAGAGUGUUUUUCGGUGUAGGAUGAGACUAUAUAGUAUCAGCUAGUUGGUAAGGUAAAGGCUUACCAAGGCUAUGACGCUUAACUGGUCUGAGAGGAUGAUCAGUCACACUGGAACUGAGACACGGUCCAGACUCCUACGGGAGGCAGCAGUAGGGAAUA